rnacentral:rRNA from 2 species
AACUAUAACGGUCCUAAGGUAGCAAAUUUCCUUGUCGUCCUAAUAACGACCUGCAUGAAACAUAGAACGAUUCGAUAGCUGUCUUGCACACACAUCAUGGUAAAAUAUUCAUCAGUACAAAGAAUAUGCUGGCUCACUAAGACCACACUAAAGGACAAAAAGACCCUCUGAAGCUUUAUAGGGAUAAAAUCUAGUAUCUCCAUGCCCCCCAUCACCCAAGACACAAGAAGCGAGAAAGACAGGCAUUACUACUAUGCAACGACCGAAGUUAGUCUAAAGACUGUUUAAUUGGGGCGAUAAGCUUAUCUAAUCCACCUAAGGUGAACAAAGCCAUCCAAUCAACCAACUAAUAAGUGCAAAGAUACAUGUUUCGCUUAAUGGCCCAAGAAGUCCUUCCCAGUAUUUAAAUGCUAUCUUAAUGAGCUUAAAAUUAAUCUACCAACACCAAGCUACUCUACGGAUAACAGGCUUAAUUUCGGCAAUACGAAAGCUCACAUUAUCAAGAAAAAUGCACCUCGAUGUCGGCUUAUCAUCACCAAAAUCUGUAGCUAGCUUAUUGGUGGGAGUGCUCAUCCCGUAAAUCGGUACGUGAGCUGGGUUCAAUACGAU